AUGUACAUUCCUAUAGCAUAGCGUUAAUGCAUCGGAUCCCAUUAGAAAUAUACAAUUAAGCGCGCUUAGGCUAGAGUAGUAUUGGGAUGGGUGACUGCCCGAGAAGUCCUAGUGUUUUACAUG
rnacentral:rRNA from 1 species